GUUUGAUCCAAGAAAUAAAGUCGACUUAUGUCGAACAAAUAAGUUGUUAUUUGAUCAACAUUUAUUAUUGUAUGGUAGUUCGUUCUGAACGUUUCGAUAUUUUAUAGCUUGACUCGUUUAUUAUGGCAAAUGUUCAGCAAGGUAUUGUACUUUGUCAAAUAUUAAAAAUAAAGAUUUGGUGGAUACAUGGAUUUCAUUGCCCAAAAAACAAAGGAAAAAUAAGUUAGUUGAAAAGGUUCUAAACCUAAUGAGACUUCAGACUGUCACGAAAGCAACUAAGCGGGAAUUUGAAAACUCUGUUGGCAUUUUUUGUGGAAAAAUAAAUAUUAAAUGGCAAAAAAAUCUUCGCAGAAAAGAACAGUUUUUAG